CCUUCUUGGUUGACAUCUUGGAUUUUUGGAGAUUGUUUUCCACAAUGUUUUGUUAAAUGAAUUUGUCAAUAAAGGGGAAAAAAUAUCUUGGAUUUUUGGAGAUUGUAAGAGGGCUGAGCCAGAGAGCAGUGAUUGGUCAGACUGACUGAGAGCCCCGCCCACACUUACCGGCUGCUGCCGUCUUUACCAACUCUGCAUCUAACAAUUUUAGCAUACAAAAAUGGAGCUAAACUCUUCGGGUAAGUGUAAAAGUCAUCUUGGUAAGUUGUUGUACUUCUCUCCACAUCUUGACAAUAUUCUAUAUAAAGCAAUGACCUACGUUACUGUAGCUGAAGUUACUGGCAGUUAACAUCAGACUGGAACCACUGAUGGUAAAACCAUAGACUGCAUAGUCUAUGGGUCAAACAUGUUCUAAUAUCGUGUUUUAAAGUCAUAUUGUAAAUCUCAGAUGACGUAUCUUAAUUUUGUGUCAACAGUGAUGAAAAGUCAGGUUUGUCAGUGUCAGAAAUUAGUUAACUGUUAGUUGUAGCUAAGUGUCCUGUAGGUCACAGCUGAUCAGUUAUAACGGAUCAAUAACGUUCUUACAGUGUUUUAACUACUGCCUUCUUGCUGUUCGUUAAUGAUCAGCAGAUAUAAGUUAAUCUACGUUGGCGUUCCUCCACAGAACACUGUUACUGAUUAAUGUUGAUCUCUCAGUUCAAUGAAUGAAGCUCAGUUCAGUUCUGUGAGUUCAUGUCUCUGUUCUGUGGUUCAGUAUCAGACUGUGGACAGUUUUUAACAGCUUCUGUUCUUUCACUGAGAAAAACAUCUGUUGAAAUGAUUGUUUGUCUUUCAGAAACAGUAAAGUUACUGAGGUCUACACACCAUCACACUGAACCACAGAGCCUUGGUCUAAAUCAUUAGGAACACCUAGUCUGAUGUGGACUGAGUGCUACAGUGAGUAUGAACAUUCAAAACAUUUGGUUGUCUGAGGUCUUCUCUCCUUCUUCAUCCCUGUGAGGAAGAGCAGCACCGAUGUUCUCGUCAUCCUUUCCAGUAAGAACAAUAAUGUUGCAGAUUCAGCUCCUCUCUUCAUAAUACAGCUUGUCUUGUGACUGUUCAGUAUUUACACUUCACUGUAAGCUGGGAAACACAUUUAUUUCAUUCAUUUAAUACAUACUUUUACACAUCUUGCAGUUCGUAAUUGUUAAAUAAUGUAGUUUUAAAUGUGCAAUAAAGGUAGUAAUAAA